AGCGAACGCUGGCGGCGUGCUUAACACAUGCAAGUCGAGCGAGAAAGGGGGCUUCGGCCCCUGAGUACAGCGGCGAACGGGUGAGUAAUACAUGAGCAAUCUAUCCUUGAGGCGGGAAUAACCCAGCGAAAGUUGGGCUAAUACCGGAUGAGACCACAGGAGGAAACUCCAAGGGUCAAAGGCAGCUUUCUUUUGGGAGCGGCCCUUCGAAGAGGAGCUCAUGUCCUAUCAGCUAGUUGGUAGGGUAACGGCCUACCAAGGCGAAGACGGGUAGCUGGUCUUAGAGGAUGAUCAGCCACACGGGGACUGAGACACGGCCCCGACUCCUACGGGAGGCAGCAGUGGGGAAUAUUGGGCAAUGGGCGAAAGCCUGACCCAGCGACGCCGCGUGGGUGAUGAAGGCC
rnacentral:rRNA from 1 species